rnacentral:lncRNA from 10 species
ACCUCCGCAUCCUGGGCUCAAGCUAUCCUCCCACCUCAGCCUGCGAGUCUCCCAGAUCCGGUCCCAGAGCAUUACAAUAAUGGUUUUAUAUAUAUAUAUAUAUAUAUAUAUAUAUAUAUAUAUAUAUAUAUAUAUAUAUAUAUAUCAGCAACACUUCCUGCGUUAUGAACGCUUACCCUUGCAGCCUGGACCUCAGGCUCAGGCGAUCCUUCCAACUCAGUCUGCUGAAUAACUGGGACCACAGGCAUACACCAUCAUGCCCAGCUAAUUUUAUUUGAAUUUUAGUAGAGAUUGGGUCUCCCUAUGUUUCCCAGGCUGGUCCCCACAAAGAAUUAUCUGGACCAUUAUGUCAGCAGUGCAGAGGUGGGGAGACCCUACAUGACAUGCAUUAUCUCCUAUUUUACCCUCUCAGUGGCCCCGUGAUGUAGGAUCACAGAAGAGGCAGAAGGUGGAGAGAGGCA